GAGAGUUCAAGAACUUGGAAUCAAUUGGUGUCCCCUACCCAAAAAGCCAAUCAAUGGGGAUGUAUGCAAGUUUGUGGGAUGCAGAUGACUGGGCGACAAGAGGAGGGCUUGUGAAGACAGACUGGAGCAAAGCACCCUUCACUGCAUCAUUCAGAAACUUCAAUUCCAAUGCUUGUAUUUGGUCUAAUGGAGCAUCUUCUUGCAGUAACUCCGCUAACCAGUGGUCCUCUGAAGAGCUUGAUUCUACAAGUCAAAAGCUGCUAAAAUGGGUUCAGAAAAAUUACAUGGUCUACAACUACUGCACAGACACAAAGAGAUUCCCUCAGGGCCUUCCUCAGGAAUGCACUGUCAUCAACAAGAAUUAGAAAUUCAGGACUUGCACAUAUGGAUCAAUGGUUCCAGAGUUUAGUUUGUUCUAGUAACUUCCAAUUGCAAAGUUUACAUUCUUUUGUCUGACAAGAUUGUGCCAAUAAUGCAAGAAAAAUCGCAGUCCAUAAUGUAUAUAAAUAUAUUUCCAUAUAUGAAAAAGG
rnacentral:misc_RNA from 1 species